UGUGCCCAUGGAGCUCUGCAGCCUCGUCUGCGUGGCCGCCCACGCGCGCCUGAGGAGGGAGCCGGUGCCCACAGACGCGGGUCUCCUUCUCUCCGUAGGGCGUCCCUUGAGCCACCGGUAGAGAUCUAACGGUUCUUCUGCCUCCUAAUGUUGGGAUCGAACUUGGUGGAUCACAACAAGAGAACAUUGUGUCUUACUUUUUCCCUCGUCUGUCCAGUUGGAAAAGAAAUGUGAUGAUCUGUCCUGCCCUCAUGCAGAACCGUGAGUGGGUCCCGGCCGGCGACAGACCAGUCUGCAUUUGCAGUGCUUCCUAGAACACGGAGGAUGCAUGUGAAAGCAGGAGGGAGCAAGAGGAAGAGAGAACAAACGGGCUCAUCAGCCAGUAAAUGAUGAGGAUGGGUAGAGAUGGAAGCUCAGGCCCUGCAGCUCGCAGCAAGGCAGCUGACGAGGAUGCCCCAAGCAAGCGUCAGGCAUUCCUUCAUCCUGGCUCUCUCUUCAGACCUUGCCUUUGUUCUCCUAUGAAGAACUUACCAAUUUUAAAGAACUGUCUGUGCACACACAGGCUAACACAUAUACCUAACACACAUAUGCGCUGCAUACACAUAUGCUCCACACACACACACACACACACACACACACACACACUCAUGCCAUGUCCAGAUGCUCCUCGGCUGUGAGGAGUCUCAUUUCACCAGCUGUACGUUGCAGACAUCUCCACUUGUAAUUCCAUCAGCUGCACCUCAUCCACCCCACAUCCCAGCUCAGCAGCGCAGUACCUGCAGAGUAGCACGGUUCCCUUGCUUGCAGGGCUGGAUGGGGCUGCAACUGCCCAGCAUCCUGAAGGAGGAUUGGGCUGCAUGUGUCCAGUCUGGGACAAAACAUCCAAAUCCAAAAUGCAAAAUACAGUUUCUGCUGA